CCUACGGGUGGCUGCAGUGGGGAAUAUUGGACAAUGGGGGGAACCCUGAUCCAGCCAUGCCGCGUGUGUGAAGAAGUCCCUCGGGUUGUAAAGCACUUUCAGUGAGGAAGAACGCCUGGUGGUUAAUACCCAUCAGGAAAGACAUCACUCACAGAAGAAGCACCGGCUAACUCCGUGCCAGCAGCCGCGGUAAUACGGAGGGUGCGAGCGUUAAUCGGAAUUACUGGGCGUAAAGCGCGCGUAGGUGGCUUGAUAAGCCGGUUGUGAAAGCCCCGGGCUCAACCUGGGAACGGCAUCCGGAACUGUCAAGCUAGAGUGCAGGAGAGGAAGGUAGAAUUCCCGGUGUAGCGGUGAAAUGCGUAGAGAUCGGGAGGAAUACCAGUGGCGAAGGCGGCCUUCUGGACUGACACUGACACUGAGGUGCGAAAGCGUGGGUAGCAAACAGGAUUAGAUACCCCUGUAGUC
rnacentral:rRNA from 1 species